UGGAGAAAUAACGUGGGCUUAAAAUUACGAGAGAGCAGUAUGUUCAGUUACAUUUUAUAUUGUAGAUGUAUACAUUUGUAAUAUACUAUUAACAUAAGGUACACUUUAACUUCACUAUAGUCAAGCAUUGGAUAAACCAAUUAACUGUGUUUUACCACAAAAUAACCGUGGUUUUGCUAAUAAUAAUCAAUACACCAAGAAAACAUGGUUACUAAACUUUUACCACAAAAAAAAAAAAAAACAUUCAUUUUCGUAAGGGGAAUAUGAGUGUUUGUUUUUUUUGUAGUUUUUCAGUCAAUUGCAUACCGCUUUUAGCUGUACAAAACUUAAACAGUUUUCGUAAAUGCAUUUCAGAGAAAAGUGAAUUCUGAGAUUUGAAUAAUGCAUCUGACGUGUGUGUGAUGACGUCACGACGCACGUAUUUUGAUUUUUACCAGUCGUUCAAGGCGGACGGAUUCAGUCCCAAGAAGCUAAAGUUUUUCAAAGACAUUUGUAGGGAGGACUUUGCAGCUAAUGGAGCUGAAGUAUUUUAUGUAAGGAGGAUUUUGCAGCCCAUAUAGAUUUCCUUAGGCUGAACCAAAACCUGCCAGACUAAAGUUGAUUUGGGAGAGAAAGACGUUGUAAACUCAAUCAUCUUGACAUUCUUCAAUGAGUAAUUGUUCAAUUUUUAGGCAAAUACUGUACACUUUGAAUGCUGUGAAUAAAACUAUAUUUUAAAUAUAUUUAAAAUGAA